GAUGGUGUAGCUCAGUAGGAUAGAGCAGCAGCCUUCUAAGCUGUCGGUCGGUGGUUCGAAUCCGCCCACCAUCGCCA
rnacentral:tRNA from 1 species